UGCAGUCGAGCGGAACGAUGAAGAGCUUGCUCUUUAGGCGUCGAGCGGCGGACGGGUGAGUAAUGCUUGGGAAUAUGCCUUAUGGUGGGGGACAACAGUUGGAAACGACUGCUAAUACCGCAUAACGUCUACGGACCAAAGGGGGGGAUCUUCGGACCUCUCGCCAUUUGAUUAGCCCAAGUGAGAUUAGCUAGUUGGUGAGGUAAAGGCUCACCAAGGCGACGAUCUCUAGCUGGUCUGAGAGGAUGAUCAGCCACACUGGGACUGAGACACGGCCCAGACUCCUACGGGAGGCAGCAGUGGGGAAUAUUGGACAAUGGGCGCAAGCCUGAUCCAGCCAUACCGCGUGUGUGAAGAAGGCCUUAGGGUUGUAAAGCACUUUCAGAAGGGAGGAAAGGUUAAUGUUUAAUACGCAUUAGCUGUGACGUUACCUUCAGAAGAAGCACCGGCUAACUCUGUGCCAGCAGCCGCGGUAAUACAGAGGGUGCAAGCGUUAAUCGGAAUUACUGGGCGUAAAGCGCGCGUAGGUGGUUUGUUAAGUCGGAUGUGAAAGCCCAGGGCUCAACCUUGGAAUUGCACCCGAUACUGGCA
rnacentral:rRNA from 1 species